GACGAACGCUGGCGGCGUGCUUAACACAUGCAAGUCGAACGGUGAAGGGGAGCUUGCUCCCCGGAUCAGUGGCGAACGGGUGAGUAACACGUGGGCAACCUGCCCCAGACUUCGGGAUAACGCUUCGAAAGAGGUGCUAAUACCGGAUACGAACUCCUUGGGCAUCCUGGGAGUUGGAAAGUUUUUCGGUCUGGGAUGGGCCCGCGGCCUAUCAGCUAGUUGGUGAGGUAACGGCUCACCAAGGCGACGACGGGUAGCCGGCCUGAGAGGGCGACCGGCCACACUGGGACUGAGACACGGCCCAGACUCCUACGGGAGGCAGCAGUGGGGAAUAUUGGGCAAUGGACGCAAGUCUGACCCAGCCAUGCCGCGUGCAGGAUGAAGGCGUUAUGCGUUGUAAACUGCUUUUAUACAGGAAGAAACGACUCUUGCGAGAGGCAUUGACGGUACUGUAUGAAUAAGCACCGGCUAACUCCGUGCCAGCAGCCGCAGUAAUAC
rnacentral:rRNA from 1 species